CGCCGGAGGAGGCGCCGCCGGCCGGCGGCGCGCGGCCCGCCGCCGCAGGUCCGCUCCAGCAGGGCUGGGGGCAGGUUCUCGACCUGCUCCGGCGGC
rnacentral:tRNA from 1 species